CGCGCCGCUCGCGGAGGCUCUGCGGCGGACCUUCCCGGGGUUCGCCGAGUGGUCGCUGCUCCCGUUGGACCGCGAGGCGGCGCGG
rnacentral:tRNA from 1 species